rnacentral:lncRNA from 1 species
UUUAGCUUCAUCAAUUUGUUACAAGUCUUCAUUGUGGCAAUCACCCUUGACCCGACCGUUUUUUGAGCGAUGAACUAUCCAAAGAUUGAUAAAAAGUCAUACCUUAUAUGUAGGCUUCCACACAUCGCUACCAAGGUUUACCUGGAGAGAAAAACCUUAUUCUUUUCACUGGAAUUUGUCACUAUCAAUUACAACAACCCCAAUCUUGC